rnacentral:lncRNA from 1 species
UUCUAGGAAGAGUCCUGGUGGUUCCAAACAUCUUCCACUUAUGAAUGAUGGAGGCCACUGUGCUCAUUGGAACUUUCAAAGCAGCAGAAAUUUUUCUGUAACCUUCCCCAGCCUUGUGCCUCGAGACAUUCUUGUCUACAGACAAUUCCUUUGUCUUCAUGCUUGGUUUGGGCUUUUCAAAUCAUGUCCAAUCAACUGAAUUUACCACAGGUGAACUUCAAUUAAGCUGCUGAAACAUCUAAAGAUUGAUCAGUGGAAACAGAAUGGACCUGAGCUCAAUUUAGAGCUUCACGGCAAAGGCUGUGAAUACUUAUGUACAUGUGAUUUUUCAGGUUUUUUAUUUUUAACAAAUUUGCAACAAUUUCAAAAAAUCUUUUUUUUUUCACAUUGUCAUUAUGGGGUAUUGUGUGUAGAAUUUUGAGGAAAUAAAUGAAUUUAAUCUAUUUUGGAAUAAGGCUGUAACAUGAAAAAAUGUGCAAAAGGUGAAGCACUAUAAAUACUGUACUUUCUGAAAGCACAGUAUGUUGAUUAUGCAUUUGCACACUUUUUUAUCCCUUUAUCAUACCAACAAAAUUGAUGUCUGUUUAGAGCAACCACAUGACCUAGAGCACCAUAUAAAUGUUUCAUGAAGUAAGAAAGUAAUAGAGGAACAGAGAAAUAGAGGAACAUUACAACAACCAGACCACAUCUAUGAGACUAUGACUUUCACUGUUUUACUCUGUCUUUCAUUGUAUGGAUUUAUGCUGACAUCAUUUGCUGUCCAGCACCAGCGGGUCCGACCCAAUGGCAUGGCCAUUCUUCCAUGUGGUGACUUGAAGGUUGGAAAAGUGACUUGGAGCAGGGAUGUGAAAGGACAUCAAGUGUCUAUUCUCAGCACAGAUGACGGAAAGAUAAUCAGACACAUGCAUAAUAACAAUUACAGUUCAUUACCAGACCUGUCUCUGAUUAUCUGGUUUGUCUCAUCUUGGGAUGAAGGGUUGUAUUAUUGCAAUGGGACAUCUGUGGCAUGUCUGACAGUGAAACCAGCUGAUGGACGGAACAUUGAGGAUCUGACUAAAUGUCUCAAAGGUGCUGACCAUGCUGAUGUGAUGGAGCAAGUGUUGAUGUUUGGCGGUGUUGGAUUGGCAGCUCUGAUGUUUCUCUUUGCUACGGCAGCUGCAGUGAAAACUUUAUACUGUAUUGACAGUAAACCAAAACAAAGAACUCUUAACAAAGACCAUGUUCAGAUUAAUCCAGAUUAUAUUAACUUGAACAACAGUGAAACUGUUUUAUAGUAUUUUGUAAAAACAAAAGAAAAGAAAACAUUUAAAUGUGCAGCAGAGCUUACAGGGAUAGUUCACCCUAAAAUUUAAAAGUACUUACUGUUUACUCACCCUCAGGUGGUUAUGAACCUAUGAAUUUUCUUAAUCUGUUGAACACAAAGAUUUUAAAGGACGUUGGAACCCUGUAACCAUUGACCUCCAUAGUAUGACAAACAUACUAAGGAAGUCAAUGUUUACCAGUUUCCAACAUUUCCAACACUAGAAGAAAGCAACUCAAAUAUAGGAUGAUUAAAUCCUAAUUUGGGGUGAACUAUAACUUUUCAAAGCUAGUCAGAUACCACUACAUCAUUUACUAGUGACAAGCAAUGACAGAUUAAAUGCCUGUUUGUUUAUGUGCAUGCUCUAAGUCUUUUUUGUGUUUUUUUAUGUAUCUGUGUGGCUACACCCUAGCUCCUAAGGUUUUUUAUCAGUAUGAUGUGUGCACAACUUUGGGCACUGUCCUGUGGUAAUCCUGUGGUAUUUCAGCAGUAUAACAUAAAUUUACCACACAAAAAAUAAGCAAAGCUAAAUAUGACAGGAUUACUACAGCACUUUCUGCAGUACAAUAUCACAAGAAUUAACCACUAGAUGAAGUAUGUGAUUUUUGUUGUUGUUGGGGGUGUGGUUUUAGCAACUAAAUAUGACAGGAUUACUACAGCACUUUCUGCUGUAAAAUAUGACAAGAAAUUACCAUUAGAAAAAGAAUGUUUUUUUGUUGUUGUUUUGUGUGUGUGUGUGUGUGUGGUAAUACCAACAAAGCUAAAUAUGACAAGAUUACUACAGCACUUUCUGCUGUACAAUAUCACAAGAAUUUACCAUUAGAUAAAUUAUGAGGUUUUUCUGUUGUUGUUUUUUUUUGUGUGGUAAUACCAACACAGCUAAAUAUGACAGGGUUACUACAGCACUUUCUGCUGUGAACUAUCAAAAGAAUUAGCUUUUUAUUCUGGCAUUUUCUAAAACAUUUGUUUUUCUUAGUGGUAGAUAAAAUCAAAGUAUGUUCUGC